UUGACAUCGAAGCUGACUGCAGAUCCAGGUGGGGAAAAUGCACCUUGAUGUCGUGGAGUGCUUCUUCUCAAUGUCGAUAGAGACUGUAAGGGUGUCAAUGCAGGAGGCCGGAUUUAAGUAACAUAAGAACAGCCCUGCUGGAUCAGGCCCAAGGCCCAUCUAGUCCAGCAUCCUGUUUCACACAGUGGCCCACCAGAUGCAAUGACACCAGAUUUGUGAACAAUCUGUUGAAGAACCAAACCGAAACCGAAGAGCAAUGACUAAGAAAGUGUCGAUGCUUUGGCAGCUGGAAAGGAACUGACAAAUAGCACCCUAACCGCCCAUAUAACCGACACUUUGCAUGCAUGAGGUGGAAUGUGAGCACCACAAAAAGCUGGAAGAAUCCAUUCACAAGGUCCUGUGCAGGCACAGAAUCCAGGUUUAUGAAUUGCAACAUAUCGUGAUCCAGACCUGUAUUUUUCCUAGCAAUUAAGCCACUGAAGACCUCAUCUAAAGGAAGCCCAUCUCUCUCUGUAGAGAUUGGUUGACUGAACUGAUGUAAAAAUUUUAAUUUCCUCUAAUUAUUAUCAAAAAAGCUUGAGCAUACAAAAAUAAUGUAUCAAGUGUAGGUGGAAGUCAUGUCAUACAUUUUUCUAUUACUUAUAUAAAAAUAAUUUCAAAAUUGUAUGAACACAGAAUAUUCCAGUCUUCUGUGGAAUGCUGCUCUGUCAUCAGAAGCUCAUGAAAACAGCUUCCAACAGCAGAGCAGCACACCGCAAGAGGACACAACUUUGAAUUAGCAGAAAACCCAUUUCAAUCUGUGUGUCAAUUUUGCAUUAUGCAUAGGAGGUAACCAUGACAAUCUUCCCAUUUCUCACCCCAACCUAGGUACAGAUUUGCUGCGUCUUGCCAAUAGAUCAAGAAAAGACAGCUUGCACAGGUUUAACUGAUGUUCUGGUAGUGAUCCAUUGACAUUAAUAAAGCUGGGUUCUGUGCCUGCGCAGGACCUUGUGGAUGGAUUCCAUGAGGCGCACAUGCUCCGCCUCUCCUCGUGGCACCCAUGCUCCACCUCUCAUGCUCAGCGUGGCCAU